UAACUUGAGAGUUUGAUCCUGGCUCAGGACGAACGCUGGCGGCAUGCCUAACACAUGCAAGUCGAACGAGAAAGUUCCUUCGGGAGCGAUUAAAGUGGCGCACGGGUGAGUAACGCGUAGACAAUCUGCCCUUCAGUCUGGGACAACUUUUCGAAAGGAGAGCUAAUACCGGAUGACAAUGUAACACAUAAGUGUCACAUUUGAAAGCUCCGGCGCUGAAGGAGGGGUCUGCGUCCCAUUAGCUAGUUGGUAAGGUAAAGGCUUACCAAGGCGACGAUGGGUAGCGGGUUUGAGAGGACGAUCCGCCACACUGGAACUGAGACACGGUCCAGACUCCUACGGGAGGCAGCAGUGGGGAAUAUUGCGCAAUGGGCGAAAGCCUGACGCAGCCACGCCGCGUGAGGGAUGAAGGCUCUAGGGUUGUAAACCUCUUUAGGCAGGGAAGAAAAUGACGGUACCUGCAGAAUAAGGUCCGGCCAACUACGUGCCAGCAGCCGCGGUAACACGUAGGGACCGAGCGUUGUCCGGAUUUAUUGGGCGUAAAGAGCUCGUAGGCGGUUCGGUAAGUCAGGUGUGAAAGCUCGAGGCUCAACCUCGAGAUGCCACCUGAUACUGCUGUGACUUGAGUCCGGUAGAGGAGUGUGGAAUUCCUGGUGUAGCGGUGAAAUGCGCAGAUAUCAGGAGGAACACCAGCGGCGAAGGCGGCACUCUGGGCCGGUACUGACGCUGAGGAGCGAAAGCAUGGGGAGCAAACAGGAUUAGAUACCCUGGUAGUCCAUGCCGUAAACGUUGGGCACUAGGUAUGGGAUCUUAUCAAUGGAUUCCGUGCCGUAGCUAACGCAUUAAGUGCCCCGCCUGGGGAGUACGGCCGCAAGGCUAAAACUCAAAGGAAUUGACGGGGGCCCGCACAAGCGGCGGAGCAUGUUGCUUAAUUCGAGGCAACGCGAAGAACCUUACCUG
rnacentral:rRNA from 1 species